rnacentral:rRNA from 1 species
UACGAAGGGGGCUAGCGUUGCUCGGAAUCACUGGGCAUAAAGGGUGCGUAGGCGGGUCUUUUAAGUCAGGGGUGAAAUCCUGGAGCUCAACUCCAGAACUGCCUUUGAUACUGAGGAUCUUGAGUUCGGGAGAGGUGAGUGGAACUGCGAGUGUAGAGGUGAAAUUCGUAGAUAUUCGCAAGAACACCAGUGGCGAAGGCGGCUCACUGGCCCGAUACUGACGCUGAGGCACGAAAGCGUGGGGGAGCAAACAGG